ACAAAGGGCGCAUGGUGGAUGCCUAGGCUCUCGGAGGCGAUGAAGGACGUGAUAAGCUGCGAAAAGCUGCGGUUAGGCGCAAAUAACCUUUGACCCGCAGAUCUCCGAAUGGGACAACCCGUCCGGUUGAAGACCGGACAUUCCGCUGCAUAAGCGGAAGGCAAACGUGGGGAACUGAAACAUCUUAGUACCCACAGGAAAAGAAAAUAAACAAUGAUUCCGUCAGUAGCGGCGAGCGAACGCGGAUUAGCCCAAACCGUUCCUGUUUCGGCAUGAGCGGGGUUGUAGGACUGCCAUAAGGGAAAUGAAGUAACGAGAAGAAGGGACCGGACCGUCCCGCCGGAGAGCGUGAAAGCCGCGUAUUUACAGUUACGAAAAUUCCGGCAGUAUCCUGAGUAAGUCGGGACACGAGUAAUCCCGUCCGAAUCCGCCGGGUCCAUCCGGUAAGGCUAAAUACUCCCGAGAGACCGAUAGUGAACCAGUACCGUGAGGGAAAGGUGAAAAGCACUUCCAGCAGAAGAGUGAAACAGUUCCUGAACCCAUGCGCCUACAAGCGGUCGGAGCAUCUUUACAGAUGUGACGGCGUGCCUUUUGCAUAAUGAACCUGCGAGUUUUCCAUGCCAGCCAGGUUAAGGGUCUAGAGACCCGCAGCCGCAGCGAAAGCGAGUCUUAACGGGGCGUUCGAGUUGGCAUGGAAAGACGCGAAACCAAGUGAUCUACCCUUUGCCAGGUUGAAGACCGGGUAACACCGGUUGGAGGACCGAACCGAUAAGCGUUGAAAAGCUUCCGGAUGAGCAGAGGGUAGGGGUGAAAGGCUAAUCAAACUUGGAGAUAGCUCGUACUCCCCGAAAUGCAUUUAGGUGCAGCCUUGUCAGUUUCCGUUAUGAGGUAGAGCUACCGAUAAGAUGCGAGGGCUUCACCGCCUGUCAAGUCUUGCCGAACUCCGAAUACGUAACGCGUGAAUAACAGGAGUGAGGGCACGGGUGCUAAGGUCCGUGUCCUAAAGGAGAAUAAUCCGGACCGUCGUCUAAGGUCCCCCAGCGUAUGUUAAGUUGAUCUAACGCAGUGGGAUUGCUGUGACAGCUAGGAUGUUGGCUUGGAAGCAGCCAUUCAUUCAAAGAGUGCGUAACAGCUCACUAGUCGAGUGAUCCUGCACGGAUAAUACUCGGGCAUAAACAUACCACCGAAGACACGGGAUUGAAAGUAAUAUUUCAAUCGGUAGGGGAGCAUUCCAUUGUGCGUCGAAGGCGAUUCGCGAGGAUCUCUGGAGCUGAUGGAAACGCAAAUGCAGGUAUAAGUAACGAUAAAGGAGGCGGGAAACCUCCUCGCCGCAAGACUCAGGUUUCCUGAUCAACGCUAAUCGGAUCAGGGUCAGUCGGGUCCUAAGGCUACGCCUAAUGGCAAAGCCGAUGGUCGAACCGGUUAAUAUUCCGGUACUUGCUGAUGGAAAGUGAUGCGGAGACGGAGCAGUGACAGUACGGCGGCAUGACGGAAUAUGUCGUUUAAGGGCGUAGGUUUUGAGAGGUACCGGCAAAUCCGUACCUUGAGCCGACCCUGAAAGUAUGAGGCGUCUUCGGACAAAUCAAACGUACGUAAUCAGACUCCCAAGAAAAUCCGCUAAACGUCAAAGAUUCCGUCAGGAACCCGUACCGUAAACGGACACACGUGGUCGGGUAGAGCAUACUGAAGGCGCUCGAGCGAAUCACGGUUAAGGAACUAGGCAAAUUCACCCCGUAACUUCGGGAGAAGGGGUCCCUUUGCGAGAAGGGCGCAGUGAAACGGUCCAGGCAACUGUUUACCAAAAACACAGGGCUGUGCAAAAUCGAAAGAUGCCGUAUACAGCCUGACACCUGCCCGGUGCCGGAAGGUUAAGAGGAGAGCUUAUCGCUUUAAGUGAGAAGGUUUGAAUUGAAGCCCCGGUAAACGGCGGCCGUAACUAUAACGGUCCUAAGGUAGCGAAAUUCCUUGUCGGGUAAGUUCCGACCUGCACGAAUGGUGUAAUGAUCUGGACACUGUCUCAACCGUGAUCUCGGUGAAAUUGUAGUAUCGGUGAAGAUGCCGAUUCCCCGCGAUGGGACGAAAAGACCCCGUGAACCUUUACUAUAGCUUAACAUUGAAUCCGGUUACGUGAUGUGUAGGAUAGGUCGGAGACUUUGAAGCAUGUACGCCAGUACGUGUGGAGUCAGCGUUGAAAUACGACCCUUUGCCUAUCUGGGUUCUAACCUGUACAUGCAGGGACAUUGUUUGGUGGGUAGUUUGACUGGGGUGGUCGCCUCCCAAAGAGUAACGGAGGCUUCUAAAGGUGCCCUCUGGACGAUUGGUAACCGUCUUAUAGGAGUGUAAUGGCAUAAGGGCGCUUGACUGGGAGACUGACAGGUCGAUCAGGUGGUAAACCAGAGCAUAGUGAUCCGGUGUUUCCGCAUGGAAGGGACAUCGCUCAAAGGAUAAAAGGUACUCCGGGGAUAACAGGCUGAUCCCUCCCAAGAGCUCAUAUCGACGGAGGGGUUUGGCACCUCGAUGUCGGCUCGUCACAUCCUGGGGCUGUAGAAGGUCCCAAGGGUUGGGCUGUUCGCCCAUUAAAGUGGCACGCGAGCUGGGUUCAGAACGUCGUGAGACAGUUCGGUCUCUAUCUAUCGUGGGCGUAAGAAAUUUGCGUGGUGCUGGCACUAGUACGAGAGGACCGUGUCGGACCGACCUCCGGUGAACCGGUUGUGCCGCCAGGUGCAUGGCCGGGUAUCUGCGUCGGGAAUAUGGAUAAGCGCUGAAAGCAUCUAAGCGCGAAGCCUUCCACAAGAUAAGAUUUCUUCUUAAGGGUCGUCGCAGACUACGACGUUGAUAGGCCGCAGGUGCAGGAGCAGUAAUGCUUACAGCCGAGCGGUACUAAUGACCCGUACUCUUUC
rnacentral:rRNA from 1 species